AGCGAACGCUAGCGGCGGGCCUAACACAUGCAAGUCGAGCGCAUACCUUCGGGUAUGAGCGGCGGACGGGUGAGUAACGCGUAGGUCAUCUACCCUUUGGUGGGGGAUAACCCAGGGAAACUUGGGCUAAUACCGCACGAGGUCUACGGAUCAAAGCCUUCGGGCGCCAGAGGAUGAGCCUGCGUCGCAUUACCUAGUUGGCGGGGUAACGGCCCACCAAGGGGACGAUGCGUAGCUGGUCUGAGAGGAUGAUCAGCCACACUGGGACUGAGACACGGCCCAGACUCCUACGGGAGGCAGCAGUGGGGAAUAUUGCGCAAUGGGGGAAACCCUGACGCAGCCACGCCGCGUGGGUGAUGAAGGCCUUCGGUUGUAAAGCCUGUCGGGAGGGACGGAAUUCUUGACGGUAUCUCCAAAGAAAGACACCGGCUAACUCCGUGCCAGCAGCCGC
rnacentral:rRNA from 1 species